CGAUUGGCUGGGGGCGCGGCCGCGCCGAGCUGGCGGCGGAAGAGGCGGAGGCGGGCGGAGGGGCGAGGGGAGAAGAGGCCUCGCAAGAGCCCGGGCCGGGGCAGAGACCCUGGGGAGGGAACCAGGCCCCGGAGAGAAGCCCCCUCCCCUGAGGCCAGGGUGGUGGCCAGCACCCCCGUCCCCCUCGCGGGGAGCGCCCCGGGCAGCCAUGCAGGCGGGCUGGGGCGGGUGGUGGCAGCGCCUGGAUGCCGCGCUGUGCCUGCCCCUGUGUGUGACCGUGGCGCUGAUGGGGGCCGUGUGCACAGAGGUGCUGUGCCGGCUUCUCGGGGCUGCGGAGCCCACCCAGCUGCCCCUGGCCCUGCACCUGACCCUCCUGCUCUUCCUGCUGGCCAACGUGCUGGGCAAUAUGGGCCUCUUCAUCACCACCAGCCCAAGCAUCACAGGGGUCAUGCUGUCCGGAGGCGCCGUGGGACAGGGCUGGGAGUACUGCUACACCUGCCAGUCCCACGUGCCCCCCCGCUGUCACCACUGCUACACCUGCAACGUGUGCAUGCUGCGCCGGGACCACCACUGUGUGCUGCUGGGCCAGUGUGUGGGCUACCAUAACUACCGUUACUUCCUUUGCCUCCUGCUGCACGGCUGGGUGGCCCUGCUCUACGCCAGCCUGCUCAAUGCUGACAUCUUCGUGGCCCUGCUGCAUGAGGGAGUCACCCUGCACAGCAUCGUCCUCCUCCUCAUGCCGUGGCUCAUGCUGCUGAUGGGCCAGGUGAGCACCUUGACCUUCAUCUAUGCUUUCGUGGCGGACACCUGCGUGGUCAGUUUCCUCUUCUGCUCCGGCUUCCUCUUCUUACACGUGCUGCUGAGCCUGCGUGGCCAGACGAUCAGGGAGUGGUUUGGGGAGAGCCGCUGCUAUGACCUGGGCUGGCGCCGCAACCUGCAGGAGGCAUUGGGGGACAGGUGGCACCUUGUCUGGCUGUGCCCGCUCCUGGCCUCCCCACUUCCUGGGGAUGGCGUGGCCUUUGAGAGCAGAGCUCCCCGCACUGAGCCUUCCACCAAGCCAGUUGUUUUCUGAAGGGUUACUGGCCUAGUGGAUAAAGGGAAAGCAGUGAACAUGAUGUCUGGACUUUAGUAAAGCUUUUGACACAGUCCCACAGGACAUUCUGAUAAGUAAAUGAGGGAAACGUCAUCUAGAUGAAAUUGCUAUAAGGUGGCUGCACAACUGGUUGAAAGAUCGUCCUCAAAGAGUAGUUAUCAAUGGUUUGCUGUCAAACUGGGAGGAUGUAUCCACUGGGGUCCUGCAGGGGUCUGUCCUGAAUCCAGUAUGAUUCAGUAGUUUCACUAAUGCCUUGGAUGAUGGAGUGAAGAGUAUGCUUAUAAAAUUUGCAGAUGAUGCCCAGCUGGGCAGGGCUACCAGCUUUUUGGUGCACAGAAUUAGAAUGAAAAAUGACAGUGAUAAACUAGAAAACUUAUCUGAAAUCAGCAAGGUCUCCUUCCGGAUGGUGCUGCAGUACUGCAGUGGGGCUGGCACUGGCUUUGCCUCUCCCCAGAGCGGGAGCGCUGCUGAGGGGCAAAUGUCAAGCUGUGUCCACUGCUCUGCCCCAUGGGUUACUCGCACCCCCAUCUGACCUGGGUCCUGACACUGCCCAGGGGGUGAUCCUAUGCUGCGUCUGAGCCAUGUCUGCACUGUACUCUGCAGUUGUUGUGACUGUUGCACCAGGCACUGGACAGAUUCCAACCAAGAUUGGGGGGUCCUGUUGCUCUGGGCAUAGUGCAGCCUGUGAGCAAGAUCAGAGACCCCUGUUGUUUCAGGUGCAGCUCGAACACAGAAUGAGAAACAGUCCCUGUCCUGAAGACCUCACAGUCUUAACAGACCCAAGGUGGGAGGGUAAACAGGCACCCAGAGGAAAAGGGACUACCCAGCUUAGGGAAUAGAGCCCAGGAGUCUUGGCUCCCAGUCCAGCGCCCUCCUGACUGCACUAACCUUUUGUGGAUCCCAGUUCUCUCCUUUUAAAGCACUAGCAGCACAAGACUGCCGUUCUGCAAGCCCAGAGCUAAAACUGCUUGUCUUCUGUGUUUGCACAGUUCUCCCAUGGCCCAGCCCGGCCCAGCAGGAUAGUGCACCCCCAGAGGCUGGAGUCCUUGCCUUACCAGCCCCUCUCCCAGGUGGGGGCUUUCCUCUGGCACCCUGUCCCCACUGCUUUCCAAUAAAGCUCCAAACCCCAGGUGCACAGUGA